GGGGUCUCGGUGGGGCCCACUCUAGAUUACCACGGACACGGAUGCGCAGCUUGUAGACGUCGGCAUGCUCGCCGUCGUCGGGGGAGAUGGGAAGCGAAUCUGGGAUUGGCAGAAGCUGAGGAGAUGCGCAAUUUGGCAGAAUGCCAUCAGGAUUACACCACUGCUUAAAGAACACUCUGACGUUACUCCAAAGCUCCAUCCCACCCCACCUUCUGGGGUGCUUCAUGCUCUGGGACCACCCAGUCCAGUUCAGAGGCGGUGGGCAGCUGCAUGCCCUCGAACUGCUUCAGGAGCCCCAUGGCCACUGCCUCGGCGGAACCGGACUGAAGGAAGGAGUGUGUGCUGUAAGGACAGAGGCGGAACGGGAAAGAGAUUCUAUAGGGCAGUUUUUCCACAUUUUUGCUAGUGGCAAAUGGGAGGGAGCAAAAUUAUGGACUGACUGUUGGUUCCCAAGAACCGGACUGGGAAACACUGCUCUAGAGAGAGGGUCUAUGCACCUGCAUGUCCUUCAGCCAGAGGAAAACGAGAGAAAGCGGGAUAAAGACUGAUGGGAGACUCACGUAGAGGUGGAACUCAGGAGCGACUUGCUGCACGACCAGGUGGUAUCUCCAUCUGGAAGGAAGCCAUGAAGAAGAUGGAGCAGAAGAAAAAACACUCUUGGAUCUUGUUUAUGGAGAACUUUCCCCACGACAUGAGAAGGCCCAACCAAGAUGAAUGUAUGUGUUUUUUCCUUACAAUCAGAAAGCAAUAUAGAUGUAAACUAUUUCCAAAGGGAGAGCUAACUAGAAGCUGCUGCAGUAACUGACCUCUGUGUGCUCCUAUAUCACCAGCAGAGGUGGGUAGUUCAGG